UACGUAGGGUCCAAGCGUUACUCGGAAUUACUGGGCGUAAAGCGUGCGCAGGCGGUUUUGUAAGCCAGAUGUGAAAUCCCCGGGCUUAACCUGGGAACUGCGUUUGAAACUGGGAGACUUGAGUGUGGCAGAGGGGGGUGGAAUUCCACGUGUAGCAGUGAAAUGCGUAGAUAUGUGGAGGAACACCGAUGGCGAAGGCAGCCCCCUGGGUUAACACUGACGCUCAUGCACGAAAGCGUGGGGAGCAAACAGG
rnacentral:rRNA from 1 species